UUAGAUUAUUUUUACUUUUAUUUUAAUUGAUUAAUUAUUUAUUUGAAGUAUCUUUAUUUUUAGUAUUUUACAGAAUUUAUUUUAUUAGUUAUAGUUUAUUUUACUGUGAAGGUUUAUUUUUAUUAUGGAAUAAGUAGGUUAUUUAUGCCGUACCUUUUGCAUCAGGGUUUAUUAAAAUUUUUUAGUUAUUUACUAUGUUUCCCGAGAUUGAGAGAGAUAAAUCAGAAUGUUGGUUCUUGUGGUAACAUGAUUUGUGAUUCUGGUUUAGGGGUGAUAUGCUAUUCGUUCUUGAUGUUAUCUGGUUCUUUAAGAAUUGUAUUUAAUACAGGAAUUUGUUUUAUUAAUUAAUUUAAUUAUUUUAAAUUCUUAAUCCAGGGGGGAUUAGCUCCCUGGAUUACCUAUAAUAUGUUUUUAGAUGAGAGUUUGUAGGCUUGGGAAUAGUCUUUUUAAUUUGUUAUAAUUGCCUCUUAAUUGAUUUUUAUUUAUUUAUAUUUAGGUAUUUAUUAGGGUUCUUAUUUUAAUUUAUUAGUUAAGGUAAUAAUGAUAAAAUUAGUAUUGUUGUUAAUUAAGGUUUAGGAACUCGGCAAUUUUAGCCCUCGCCUGUUUAUCAAAAACAUGGUCUAUUGUAUAUUUAUUUUAGAUCUGACCUGCCCAAUGAUUUUAUUGAAUGGCCGCAGUAUACUGACUGUGCAAAGGUAGCAUAAUCAAUUGUCUUUUAAUUGGAGGCUUGUAUGAAUGGUUUGACGAGGGGCUGUCUUUCUUAAUUUUAUUUUAUGAAUUUAAUUUAUUAGUUCAAAAGCUAAUAUUAGCUUGUAGGACGAGAAGACCCUGUAGAAUUUUUAUUUUCUAUCUUUUAUUUUGUUUUAUUUUUAUUUCAUUGUAAUUGUUAGUUUAUUUUGUUGGGGUGACAGAGUAAUUUCAAGAACUUACUCUAAAUUAUUUCAUUAAUUAAUGUAUUAUUGAUCCUGAUUUUUGGAAAGAAGAAUCAAUUACCUCAGGGAUAACAGCGUAAUUUUUUCGGAGAGUUCAUAUCGAUGAAGAAGAUUGCGACCUCGAUGUUGGAUUAAAGUUAGUAUAAGGUGUAGCAGCUUUAUUACUUGGUCUGUUCGACCAUUGAUUCUUUACAUGAUCUGAGUUCAGACCGGCGUGAGCCAGGUCGGUUUCUAUCCACAUAUAGUUGUAAUACUUUAGUACGAAAGGACCGAGUAUUAGAAAUAGUUUCUUUCUUAUGAAUUUUAUUAAUU
rnacentral:rRNA from 1 species